UACGUAGGUGACAAGCGUUGUCCGGAUUUACUGGGCGUAAAGAGCGCGCAGGCGGUCGAUCAAGUCGAGUGUGAAAGCCCCCGGCUCAACUGGGGAGGGUCAUUCGAUACUGAUCGACUCGAAGGCAGGAGAGGGUAGUGGAAUUCCCGGUGUAGUGGUGAAAUGCGUAGAUAUCUGGAGGAACACCGGUGGCGAAGGCGGCAUCCUGGACCGAGAUUGACGCUGAGGCGCGAAAGCCAGGGGAGCAAACGGG
rnacentral:rRNA from 1 species